rnacentral:lncRNA from 1 species
GACUCGAAGCUGCCGGAGCUGUCAGAUUGCUGGGACAAAGCCGCCCAAGUUGACCGACCUAUGGGGAGUUCACUCUUGAAUGAAGCAGCCACGAUAAUCAAAAGUGAUGAAGAAGACAAAAAAGAAGCCAACAUACGGAGGUUCACCAGAAAGAGUGACCUAUGGAAGGAUGCCGAAGAAAGGAAGGAAAACAGAGCCAAAGCUUCCACCAAAUGGCAAACCCCAACCGAG